rnacentral:lncRNA from 1 species
ACUGCCUACCAACUAAAACUAUAUAUAAAUAUGAGUUUUACAUUAAUCAUUAGAUUCAAUGUUAAAAAGAAGAGAAAUGAACUGAACCAACCCCAUAAGAGCAUUUAAUAGUUUUAGUUAAUAAUUUCUGUUAGUAACAAGUUGUUAGUAACAGUUUCUGUUAUCCAAUACUUAGUUAAUUAGAAGUUCGUUAGCAAGGUUGUUAGUUAGUUUUAUAUAUAGGUUAAUAUUGUAAUCUUCUUCACUUAAUUCACAUUCAAUACAAUAUACAUUUUCCUCUCUCAAUUCAGUUACAACUCUAGUUGAAGGUCAUCAAUGGUGUCAAGUUCAUCAAUGGUGAUAAUCUUUUCAUGGUAUCAGAGCAUUGAUUGAUGUAUCGUAGUUGUUCCUGUUUCGAAGUCGAUUCAUGAGCUUCUUCUCUUUCUGUGUUGUUUUCAAUCGAUUCGUUUAACUGAUUGAGAGAUUGUGUUGUGAAUUCUCUGUUUCUGUCAUUUUUCUUCUUCUUCUUCUUCUUCUUCUUUCUUUCUGAUUGAGGAAACACAUUUCGUAGUUGGAGAUUAGCAAGUUUCUAGUUGUUUUCGUGUUAGUUUUUCUCACAAAUAUUCGAACACAAUAACUGGUACUCAAGUUGGAGGUGUUUCUUCUUCUAGUUCAACUACAUCUCGAUUGGAUUUUACCAGUCCUUUUUACCUGCAUCCCUCAGAAAAUGCAGGAUCAUCCUUCUUACCUGGAGUUUUCUAUGGUAUUGGCUAUAGAUCUUGGCGAAGAGCAGUUCUCAGAGCAUUGUCAGUUAAAAGCAAAACAGGUUUUAUUAAUGGAGCAAUUGUGAAGCCUGUUUCUAUUGAUCCUAAUUUCAUGCAAUGGGAAAGAUGUGAUGAUAUGGUAACAUCUUGGAUCUUAAAUUCUUUGUCUCCAGAAUUGCGUGAUAGCCUGCAAUAUGUGAAUAAUGCCAAGGAGUUAUGGGCAGAAUUAGAGAAAAGAUACAAUCAAACCAAUGGGUGUAAAUUGUAUAAAUUACAGAAGGAGAUAAAUGAACUUAUUCAAGGUAUUUUAGACAUCACUAAGUAUUACACAACAAUGAAAAAGCUGUGCAAGGAGAUGAGCACAAUUGAUACCAAUUCUCAGUGCACAUGUGUGUGCUCUUGUGGGGGUAAAACAAAGUUACAGAAAGCUGAACAAGAUAGAAGAUUGAUACAUUUUUUAAUGGGGUUAAAUGAAAUGUAUACGACUGUUAGAGGUAGCAUUCUUAUGAUGAACACUCAUCCUAGAAUGGCUCAAGCUUUUCCAUUCUAUGCCAAGAAGAAAAGCAGAGAGAAGUGAAGCCUCAUAAUCAUACAGCCUUGGAUUCUACUUCUCUCAAUGCUUAUGGACAUUACAAUAAUAAUGCAGGUUACAAGGGAUUCAGAACAAAUUAUAGUUCAUCUAAAGGAGCUGAAACUAGUUCUGGUAAUACAAGCAAUAAUAAUGUGUCUAGAGGGAAUUCAAGUACCAACAGGUCUUUUUUAGUCUGUGACUAUUGCAAGAAAUCAGGACACACGGGAGAUAGAUGUUAUAAACUUCAUGGAUAUCCAUCCAAUCAAAAGUUUCAAAAGGGAAAAGGAACAAGUUCUGCAGCAAAUAUGUGUGCUUCUGAUAUGAAUACACAACAAUCUGGGAAAAGUCUGAAAUGGGAAAGCAGAUUCCACUAAACCUGUCCAAAGAUCAGUAUGAACAACUGCUCAACAUCUUAGGAACUAUACAAGCUGGAAAUAAAGGUUUUAAUUCUGAUAAUUCAAAUAGCAUGUUGAAUGGGGCUGUGAACUUGGCAGGUAUACUUGCUUGUUAUUCCUCUAUAAAUGAUAUAGGUGAUCUUUCUUGUAAAUGUGUUAAGCUGACUGCUGGCUCUUGGAUAAUAGAUUCAGGAGUAUCACAUCAUAUGACCUAUGAUAAAACCACUCUCACAAACAUUAAAACACUCCCAUAUCCUUUCUUAAUAUCACUCCCAAAUGGUUACAAGGUUAAAGUGACUCAAGUUGGUGAUGCUUGUUUAAAUCCAGUUUUAACUCUAAGCAAAGUGUUAUUUGUGCCUACAUUCAAGUUUAAUCUCAUUUUUGUUCAUUGUUUGGCAUUACAACUUAAUGGAGUAAUCAGUUUUGAUAAAUUUUCUUGUUUGUUGAAGGGCAUUCUAUGAAGAGCUCUCUGGAACUUGGUAAAGCCAAGAAUGGUCUAUAUUUCUUAUGUCAAAAAUGUCACAAUUGCUGCAAGUCUGCUGAGGAAAAGUCACCUCAUUCUAAUUGUCAUCUUGUCUCAAAAUUUCACACUGUAUCUUCUGUAAGACAAUCUCCAAUUUCUACUACAAAUAAAGCAGAUUGUACGACUAUUCCUUCUUCUUAUUCUAAUGAUAAAUGUCUUUCAUUUGCUGAUGUCUCUAGUCACACUUAUAAUGAUGAACUUCUCUGGCAUGCUAGAUUAGGUCAUGUACCCUUUGUAAAGAUGAGGAAUAUAUCAACCAUACCUGUAAAGUUUUCUCCUAAACAACCUUUUGCAUGCAAUAUAUGCCCUAUGGCUAGGCAAACUAGGAUGCCUUUUCCAGAAAGCACAUCUACCACUACCACAAUUUUUGAAUUACUACAUGUUGAUUUAUGGGGGCGAUAUCACAUUCCUACUCAUGAUGGUUACCAUUAUUUUCUUAUUAUGGUGGAUGACUACAGUAGGUCCACUUGGACACAAUUACUAAGGUGCAAAAGUAAUGCUCUUUAAACCAUCAAAGCCUUUGUAUCUCUCAUAGAAAACCAAUUUCAAACUAAGUUGAAAGCCAUAAGAUCAGACAAUGGUUUAGAAUUUACCUCAUCUGAAGCUGUAUAUUUCUUUCAAACCAAAGGCAUUAUACACCAAAGGACCUGUCCAUAUACACCUCAACAAAAUGGAGUGGUAGAGAGGAAACAUAAAUACUUACUUGAAACAGCAAGAGCACUCUUAUUUCAAUCAAAAUUACCCAUGAGAUACUGGGUAGAGUGUGUAUUAACUGCCACAUAUAUGAUAAAUAGAUUGCCUACUAAACUUCUUCAAAACAAAUCUCCAUAUGAGAUAUUAUACCAUAAACAACCUACAUAUUCUCAUCUUAAGAGUUUUGGUUGUCUUUGUUUUCCAACUGUUUUAAAAACUCACAAUGAUAAACUUGAACCAAGAACCCCCCCCCUCCCCAUGUUUUUGUUGGCUAUCCAUUUAAUACAAAAGGCUACAAAGUCUUGAAUCUAGCUACAAAAAAAGUUCACAUAUCUAGAGAUGUUAUUUUCCAUGAGAAUAUUUUUCCUUUUGUUCUUGCUCCUGAUGACUCUAGUUUCAGUUCUAUUUUACAAAUGCUCACUCAUUCUGUUAACAUGCCUUGUAUGCCUGGAAAAAUAAACAUUUUUGCUUCUGAUGAAAUGCUGGACAAUCUUACACCACAUGAAGUCACUGACAAUCAAGUAACCAAUAUUACAAACAUACAUGAAACAACAUCUGUUGAUAUACAUGAUUCUACACCACAAGAACCACAAGAACCAACAAGAACUUCCAGAACAAUAAAUACUCCUAGUUAUCUAAAGGAUUAUACAUAAACCCUACCUAAGUUACAUUCCCUCAAUGAUUUUGUGUCUCACAGUAACCAUGUAUGUUUCAAUAGUCUUUGUUCUGAUAGCCAGCAGCUAGUUACAACCAUUUCACAUGAAUGUGAACCUAAUUCUUUUGAAGAGGCAAUACUGCACCGUGCUUGGCAGUAAGCCAUCACACAUGAGUUUGAAGCUUUGUAUGCUAAUGAUACUUGGGAAAUGGGCAUGUUACCUGAUGGAAAAAAGGCUAUUGGUUGUAAAUGGGUAUACAAAAUAAAGCAUAAGGCUGAUGGAAGUAUAGAGAGAUUCAAGGCUAGGCUGGUAGUAAAAUGUUAUGCACAACAAGCUGGAGUAGAUUACACUGAAACAUUUUCACCUGUGGUGAAAAUGACUACUUUUAGAACAUUGAUUUCGUUAGCUGUUAAGAAAGGUUGGAACUUGUAUCAACUAGAUGUGAAUAAUGCAUUUUUACAUGGUAAUUUACAUGAGGAAGUUUACAUGGUACCCCCACAAGGUCUUACAACAGGUUGUGAUAACAUAGUGUGCAAAUUAAAGAAAUCCUUGUAUGGGCUAAAGCAGGCAAGUAGGCAAUGGUAUGAGAAGCUAGCAAACAGUUUGUGUUCAAGAGGGUAUGAACAUUCAGAUAGUGACUAUUCUUUGUUUUACAAAAAGAAUGGGAGUUCUUUGGUAUUUGUUGCUAUAUACGUGGAUGAUAUAAUCAUGACUGGUAACAAUUUUGAUGAAAUCAAUUCUUUAAAGUGUUUCCUGCAUAACCAAUUCAGAAUAAAAGACUUGGGUAAACUACACUAUUUCUUAGGCCUAGAAAUAUUAUACAGACAUGAUGGUGUUCUUAUCUCUCAGAGAAAAUUCACUUCUGAUCUUCUGAAGGAUUUUGAUGUGUUGAGUUACAAAACUACUUCAUUGCCACUUGAUUGUACUGAAAAGUUAAAAGCCACAGAUGGUAAGCUCUUAACUGAUCCUACUCAAUAUAGGAUGUUUAUUGGCAAGCUCAAUUUUGUAACUAACACUAGAAUGGACAUAUCCUAUAGUGUCCAACAUUUGAGUAAGUUCAUGCAAUCACCCAGGGAACCACAUUUGAAAGCAGCCUACCAUGUACUCAGAUACUUGAAACAAGAUCCAACCAUGGGUAUUUUUAUUUCAAACAAGGCUGAUUUUACUGUGAGUGCCUACUGUGACUCUGAUUGGGCUGCUUGUUUUUAGAAUCACGGAGGUCUAUUAGUGGUUACCUAGUACUUAUGGGAGACAGUCCUAUCAUCUGGAAAUCUAAGAAGCAAGCAACAAUAUCAUUAUCAUCUGCUGAAGUUGAAUAUAGGGCAAUAAGACAAGUUGUGCGAGAGCUAGUGUGGCUUGAAAGGUUGCUAAGUGAAUUGGAUGUAAAAUGUUCCCUGCCUAUACAUGUUCAUUGUGACAGUCAAGCAGCAGUUCACAUUGCCAAGAAUCCAGUUUUUCAUGAACGAACAAAACAUAUUGAAAUUGAUUGCCAUUUUGUAAGAACUAAACUUCAUCAAGGUUUAAUCACAUUCCAUGAUAUAUCCACUGAUUCACAAUUGGCAGACAUCUUCACCGAAGUUUUAACUGGGGUUAAACACACUGCUCUAUUACACAAGUUAUCUGUAAUUACAUCACCUCCAACUUGAGGGGGGUGAUGAGAAUAUAAGAUCAGCAGUUAAUAGUUUAGUUAAUUAUUUGUGUUAGUAACAAGUUGUUAGUAACAGUUUCUGUUUUCCAAUAGUUAGUUAAUUAGAAGUUAGUUAGCAAGGUUGUUAGUUAGUUUUAUAUAUAGGUUCAUAUUGUAAUCUUCUUCACUUAAUUCACAUUCAAUACAAUAUACAUUUUCCUCUCUCAAUUCAGUUACAACUCUAGUUGAAGGUCAUCAAUGGUGUCAAGUUCAUCAAUGGUGAUAAUCUUUUCAACCUACAACUAUAUAUAAAUAUGAGUUUUACAUUAAUCAUUAGAUUCAAUGUUAGAAAGAAGACAAAUGAACUGAACCAACCCCAUAAGAACAAAACCAAUAAUUUUCAUUUUAUUUAAUUCAAUUUGAUUUUAAAAAUUUAAAAAUCGAUAAAAUCAACUUGAUUUUAAUUUAAUUAAAUAUCGCUCCAAACGAAACAAUGAGCACUCCUACACAUUGGUUUCGCCAAAUGCCAUACUAGGAAAAUAAAUAAACUUAUUGUGAAAAGAGAUGCAUUUUACCUCUUCUAGAGACUACUGAUAAAUUUUUUUUUAUCUAUUUUUAUUUCUUAUGUUUCAUUUUUCAAAAGUUAAUUUGACUAAUUUUUAAAGUGGAAUUAUAUUAUAUUAAUUCCAUAUUUUGAACAAAAGAUUUAGAUAUUCAAAAACUAUAUGAAAAUUAUAUAAAUUAUAAUUUUUUUCAUAUCAAUAUUGAUGAAAAAAUAUAUAGUAAAAUAUUAGUUAAUUUUUUAUAAUUUAAUUCUAGAAAAAGAAACUACAAUAAUCAAGAAAAGUCAAUAUAUUUGGUUUGUUGGUUUUGCUUCACACGAGAAAUCAUUUUCUAAGAACAUCAAAUAGUUGUAUUUAUGUUAUUAAAAAAAAUUGCAAGCUUUGACUUUAAAUCCAAUAAUCAUGCCUCAAUCCGGAAUAAGCUAGGAUUUCAAAAAGUUAACCUAGAUGCAAUAUAAAAAUUUGCUUGCACUUUCACUUUUCUGUUCGAGCCCAAUACUUUUUAACAAGUAUUUCAAAUAAUGAAUCCUCUUUAUUUAUUAGUAUUUCAAAUACUCACCUCUUAAGAAGAUGCAAAACAAGGAAUUCAACUAACAAAUAAGGAAUUAAGGAUUAAAGUGACAAAUUGGCAAAAAUCAAAAGUAGAAGCAACUAUAAGAGUUACAGUAACAACGGAAAAGGAUUCACACACCUAUUGCUCAUAACGGCUAGGGGACAGUGGAGUCGAAAUGGAUCUCUUCGCAGUGGUAUCAGUUCUUCGAAGCUCAUUUUGUUUAGAGGGAAAAACUCGGGAGUAUUUAUCAGCUCUGCUGAUUCUAGAUGAAGAUUGUUGGGUCAUGGCUAAAAGUUCCUAGAUUUGACGUAUGAACCCAUUUUGAGUUGAAGAAGUCUUCGAGGAGGUCGAUUUUAUGGAACUUGUGAGAGGUUAGUGUAGAGGUGAAAUUCACUCAAGCUCAAUAAUCUUAGUUCAAUAACAAGUUGAUGAAUUUGGGGGCCAGUUCGGAGGAACAUCGAUGACAAAUCCGGAAGUAUAAUUAUUCUUGGACCUUUCUUUUAUAUUACUUCCCUUUUUAAGAUUUUUUUUUUAGUUUAUGGAUGCAGGUCACUUUUGGGCCUAUUCAGAUUCUGAUCGUUUAGUAAUAAAUGGGUUAUGUCUAAGUUUGAAUUAAAAAAAAGGGUUGUCCGCUAUAGUAGAGUCAAGAUUUUUUUUCUUGUGUGUUUGUUUCAAGACCUUCAAGAAGGUAUGGACCAACACCUUAUUAGCUUGGUGGUGAUGGAUUUGAAUAUAUUUCAAGCUUGAUAUAAUUUUUCUCAUUUUUUUUGCCUAAAACUUAAUGUGGCUUGUACACGUGACAUUCAGGUUUGGGAAC